GCUUCGGUGGCCUAGUGGUUAGAGCGUCCGCCUCUGAUGCGGGAGGUCGUGGGUUCGAACCGACCGAGUCA